rnacentral:rRNA from 1 species
UGUAAGCGUAUACCAAAGUUGUUGCAGUUAAAACGCUCGUAGUCGGAACUUGGCAGUUCCGGAAGUGUGCACGUCGUGUGCGCACUUUGCAGGGACUGCUUUUGUGGUCUUGCGUAGGAUGAGGCACUUUUAUUAGUGAACGUCCUCACGCAACCACUCUUUACUGUGAGAAAAUCAGAGUGCUCAAAGCAGGCAUUUGCCGUGAAUGUAUUAGCAUGGAAUAAUAGAAUAGGACUCGGUUCUAUUUUGUUGGUUUGUUGGGACUGAGUAAUGAUUAAGAGGGACAGUUGGGGGCAUUUGUAUUUCGGCGCUAGAGGUGAAAUUCUUAGAUUGCCGAAAGACAAACUGCUGCGAAAGCGUCUGCCAAGGAUGUUUUCAUUGA